rnacentral:rRNA from 1 species
UACGAAGGGACCAAGCGUUGUCCGGAAUCAUUGGGCGUAAAGAGCUCGUAGGCGGUUCGGCAAGUCGGGUGUGAAACCCCCAGGCUCAACCUGGGGACGCCACCCGAUACUGCUGUGACUAGAGUCCGGUAGGGGAGCGUGGAAUUCCUGGUGUAGCGGUGAAAUGCGCAGAUAUCAGGAGGAACACCAGCGGCGAAGGCGGCGCUCUGGGCCGGAACUGACGCUGAGGAGCGAAAGCGUGGGUAGCAAACAGG